GGCUAAAUGAGAGCCCGACUGUCUCUUAUAGCAAAUCAAUUAAACUGAUCUCCCAGUACAAAAGCUGGGAUGUCACCAUAAGACCAGAAGACCCUGUGAAGCUUUAACUAAUUUAUUAAACCUAAUAAUAACUAAUUUCGGUUGGGGUGACCUUGGAACAAAAAAGAACUUCCAUAUAUAUGACCUCCUCAUACAAUAAGGCAAACAAGCCACACUAUGACCCAGUAUAUCUGAUAAAUGAACUAAGUUACUCCAGGGAUAACAGCGCUAUCUUCUUCAAGAGCCCAUAUCAAAAAGAAGGUUUACGACCUCGAUGUUGGAUCAGGACAUCCUAGCAAUGCAACCGUUUCUAAGGGUUCGUUUGUUCAACGAUUAAUAGUCCUACGUGA
rnacentral:rRNA from 1 species